AGUCCCGCAACGAGCGCAACCCUUGUUCACUGUUGCCAGCACGUUAUGGUGGGGACUCAGUGGAGACCGCCGGGGUCAACUCGGAGGAAGGUGGGGAUGACGUCAAGUCCUCAUGGCCCUUACGGGUAGGGCUACACACGUGCUACAAUGGCAGUGACAGAGAGCUAAUCUCAAAAAACUGUCUCAGUUCGGAUUGUCUUCUGCAACUCGAAGGCAUGAAGUUGGAAUCGCUAGUAAUCGCGGAUCA
rnacentral:rRNA from 12 species